UGAGUGGAGCAAAUGAUCGCGUGUACUAUUGCCGAAAGGACGUGCACGAGGAAAGUCCGGGCUUCGCAGGGCAGGAUGCCGGAUAACGUCCGGUGGAGGUGACUCUAAGGAAAGUGCAACAGAAAUUAAACCGCCUUUUAAAGGUAAGGGUGAAAUGGCAGUGUAAGAGACUACCGCUUUGGUGGUAACAUCAAGGGUCAGUGUAAACCCCAUCUGAAGCAAGACUGAAUAGAAAGUUGGUUGCCCGCCUAUAUCUUUCGGGUAGGUCGCUUGACUUUAUUGGUAACAAUAAAGCUAGAUAGAUGAUCAUUCUAGACAUAACCCGGCUUAUCGCUCCACUCAUUAU
rfam:Eubacterium uniforme strain ATCC 35992 genome assembly, contig: EI43DRAFT_scaffold00001.1